UACGAAGGGGGCUAGCGUUGCUCGGAAUCACUGGGCGUAAAGCGCACGUAGGCGGAUUCUUAAGUCGGUGGUGAAAUCCUGGAGCUCAACUCCAGAACUGCCUUCGAUACUGAGAGUCUUGAGUUCGGGAGAGGUGAGUGGAACUGCGAGUGUAGAGGUGAAAUUCGUAGAUAUUCGCAAGAACACCCGUGGCGAAGGCGGCUCUCUGGGACGGUACUGACGCUGAGACGCGAAAGCGUGGGGAGCGAACAGG
rnacentral:rRNA from 1 species